rnacentral:rRNA from 1 species
CGGGUGAGUAACACGUGGAUAAUCUGCCCUGCACAGGGGGACAACAGCUAGAAAUGGCUGCUAAUACCGCAUAAGCCUACAGCCUCGCAUGAGGGAGUAGGAAAAGAAAUUCGGUGCAGGAUGAGUCCGCGUCUGAUUAGCUAGUUGGAGGGGUAAAAGCCCACCAAGGCAACGAUCAGUAGCCGGCCUGAGAGGGCGACCGGCCACAUUGGGACUGAGACACGGCCCAAACUCCUACGGAAGGCAGCAG